rnacentral:rRNA from 1 species
UACGUAGGCAGCAAGCGUUGUUCGGAGUUACUGGGCGUAAAGGGUGCGUAGGCGGUCCUAUAAGUAUGGUGUGAAAUCUCCCGGCUUAACUGGGAGGGUGCGCUAUAGACUGUGGGACUAGAGUGUGGGAGAGGAAAGUGGAAUUCCUGGUGUAGCGGUGAAAUGCGUAGAUAUCAGGAGGAACACCGGUGGUGUAAACGGCUUUCUGGACCAUAACUGACGCUGGAGGCACGAAAAGCGUGGGUAGCAAACAGG